rnacentral:rRNA from 1 species
AUUGAACGCUGGCGGCAGGCCUAACACAUGCAAGUCGAGCGGAUGAAGGGAGCUUGCUCCUGGAUUCAGCGGCUGACGGGUGAGUAAUGCCUAGGAAUCUGCCUGGUAGUGGGGGAUAACGUCCGGAAACGGGCGCUAAUACCGCAUACGUCCUGAGGGAGAAAGUGGGGGAUCUUCGGACCUCACGCUAUCAGAUGAGCCUAGGUCGGAUUAGCUAGUUGGUGGGGUAAAGGCCUACCAAGGCGACGAUCCGUAACUGGUCUGAGAGGAUGAUCAGUCACACUGGAACUGAGACACGGUCCAGACUCCUACGGGAGGCAGCAGUGGGGAAUAUUAGAAAAUGGGCGAAAGCCUGAUCCAGCCAUGCCGAGUGUGUGAAGAAGGUCUUCGGAUUGUAAAGCACUUUAAGUUGGGAGGAAGGGAAGUAAGUUAAUACCUUGCUGUUUUGACGUUACCAACAGAAUAAGCACCGGCUAACUUCGUG